rnacentral:lncRNA from 1 species
UGAGAUCUUGAUUCAAUAAGCACUUCUACUAUGGAUUUUGGAAAACAAAGCUCCAAAAAAGGAAAAUAGGGACUCUACACUGUAUCCUCCUAAAGCAAGGAACAAUGGCAUAAACCAUAAGAAGAAGAAGAAGAAGAGAAUGGGAGGAAAAAAAAAAGUGACCAACAGACCUCAAACCGGCAACUUAGAGACAUCUCCCUGAUACCUUACUGCCGCUGAACACUCCUGAAGGUGCUAUCAUCAUUGUCAGGUUCUCCAAGUUCCCUCAUAUCUUUCAUCCAUGUUAUAGUUUCCACUACUUCAUCCUAGUCCAAACAAAUCCUCAACUGCCAUAAUCCAGCUUGCUUUACAAGACUUAUACAAUCCAUCCUCUUGUUUAUGCCACAUUACCUAAUUAUUUUUCAUGUUUAUAAUGCUCAUCUUUUGUGCUUGAACCCUCUUUCUAGCUCCAACGGUUUGGAUCCUAGUAGUGCCAUAAGUCUAAAAGUCAUGGAACAAUAACAGAGAACCCAUAAGCACCUCUCACUCCAUCCACAAGCCACUUA